GAUGAACGCUGGCGGCGUGCCUAACACAUGCAAGUCGAGCGAAGCGCUUAAGUCAGAAUCUUCGGAGGAAGACUUUUGUGACUGAGCGGCGGACGGGUGAGUAACGCGUGGGUAACCUGCCUUACACAGGGGGAUAACAGUUAGAAAUGACUGCUAAUACCGCAUAAGACCACAGUACUGCAUGGUACAGUGGUAAAAACUGAGGUGGUGUAAGAUGGACCCGCGUCUGAUUAGGUAGUUGGUGGGGUAAUGGCCCACCAAGCCGACGAUCAGUAGCCGGCCUGAGAGGGUGGACGGCCACAUUGGGACUGAGACACGGCCCAG
rnacentral:rRNA from 1 species